rnacentral:rRNA from 1 species
AUUGAACGCUGGCGGAAGGCCUAACACAUGCAAGUCGAAAGAGUGGCGGACGGGUGAGUAAUGUCUGGGAAACUGCCUGGUAGCGGGGGAUACAUACUGGAAACUGUCGCUAAUAACGCAUACUAUGAGCUGGGCCCAAAGCGGAUUAGCUAGUUGGGGGGGUAAAGGCGCACCAAGGCCACGAUCCUUAGCUGGUCUGAGAGGACGACCAGCGACACUGGAACUGAGACACGGUCCAUAUGCCGACGGGAGGCAGCAGUGGGGAAUCUUGCACAAUUGGCGAAAGCCUGAUCCAGCCAUGCCGCGUGUAUGAAGAAGGCCUUCGGGUUGUAAAGUACUUUCAGCGGGGAGGCGUUACCCGCAGAAUAAGCACCGGCUAACUCCGUGCCAGCAGCCGCGGUAAUUC